UACGGAGGGUGCAAGCGUUAAUCGGAAUUACUGGGCGUAAAGCGUACGCAGGCGGUCUGUUAAGUCAGAUGUGAAAUCCCCGGGCUUAACCUGGGAACUGCAUUUGAAACUGGCAGGCUAGAGUCUCGUAGAGGGGGGUAGAAUUCCAGGUGUAGCGGUGAAAUGCGUAGAGAUCUGGAGGAAUACCGGUGGCGAAGGCGGCCCCCUGGACGAAGACUGACGCUCAGGUACGAAAGCGUGGGGAGCAAACAGG
rnacentral:rRNA from 1 species